GUAGAGAUGGCUCAGUGGUUAAGAGCAUUAGCUCUUCUAGAGGACCUGGGUUCAAUUCCCAUCACCUACA
rnacentral:tRNA from 1 species